CCACCUCCCGCCCCGAUGGCCGCGCCCACCUCCCGCCACGACGGCCGCCCCCAACCUUCUGCCGCGGCUGGCGCCCCUCCCCAGAUCCCGCCACAGCCCCAAAAACCAGCCGGCGCCGCCGCUGUCAUCCUGCACUAGAUCGACCCGCCGCUAUCGCUCCGCUGUCGCGUACAGGCAAUUCAAUGCCUCAACCCCAGGCCGUUCAAUGCCUUGCCGACCGCCGGCUCCCCCAUGGACGCCUAGCUCCUGCACUAAAACCACUGUGGCCCAGGGAUUCACCCGCCCCAACCCACUGGCCCGGUUACGAAUGCCACGCGCUCCCUCCAGUGACCAGCCCCGCGUCGCGCAUGCCCCUCCGAUGACCGGAGACCUGCCACGCGCCCCGCACUCCAGCCGCGGCCAGCUCCCUCCUGUGCUGCUCGGUUGCUUGAAUAGACGUGUAGCAGUUCAAAACAUGCAGGCCUCUGCCCCUCCGAAAUGCCCAGUUCCCCUUCGUUCAUGUCGCUUUCUCGCCCAUACACACGGUUGGAGAAUCAUCGACCUCGUCGAGCUUGACCUUGCAAGCAGCCUCGCUCGCCGUACAUGAUUUUUGUCUCCUGAGGAUUAAAUAAAAAGCUUGCUCAAAGGAAGCAUUUCCCAUCAGUGAAUUGGCUCAUUUCCUACUCAAAUACUCGCAGGCACUUGAUUCCUACAAGAAGUUUGAUUCAGACUUCAUUGCUAUUAGAAUGAAGGCAUAUGAGGUGUUGCACAGGGAGGAUGAUCUAAGUGAAAUUGUGCAGGGAGAAGGUCACAAUCAGGCACUGUAAAAGAAUUCUGAAUUAUUGUCUGUUAAACACUUCACAAGAUUCUGCAUCCGGGAAAUGGCUAGUCAUUAUCAUGCACCUUAGCAAGGAAUAGUAGACGGUAUGACAUGUAAAAAAGAUGCGUUGAAGUGGUUGGUGCUGCUCUCCUGAAAGAUGAUUGAUGGCUACCUCCUCCCGCUGGUGGGGCUCUAUCGCUGUAGUGCCCCGGUUGUUCACAGCCGCUACCCCAGGUCGUUCAGCAACACAGCGCUAAGUCGUUCGACGCCGCAGCUCGGGAGGUGCCCGCUUUUCCCCACCUCCCCCUGUAUGUUCAUCUCCUUCUCUUGUGUAUAUUUAGUUCAACAUCUCGUGAUUAUUCAGGUUACCUUAGUCGGCAUUCUCAGUUCAUCUUGCAGGUGAUUGAGCUCCCCUUUGGUUCAUCUUGGAGGUGUGUUUUUGGGCAGUACGAAUACAUUGCUAUAGUUAGUACAGAUGUGGCACCUUGCGGAGUACUAAAAAGACCAACUGCUUAGGAUUACUAUAAUGAGCUAAUAAUAAUAUUUGAGUCCUUCAGGAUCCUCUAGUUCUGGAUGUCCACCGCCACCCCCUUCAACCCCUAUUUCUUAAGGAGGCUCUCUGCUUGCCGCUCGGUUGUCCUCUAUUUGUUCUAAUUUCUUGCAAAUCAAGUUUAGUUUGAUGAUGGCUGUUGAAGAUUACAUUUGUGUGCUCUGAUUGAUUUAGUUUCUGAAUCUUGACUUGCUAAAAUGAACCUACUAUGUUUUCAAUCAAUUGAUGGAGUGCAGGAAAUCCAAAAAUGUCUUACUGUUUACUCCAUCAAUUCAUGUAAGUUCAGCUAUUUUAUUGCUAAUAAGUUCAGCUAUUUUAUUAAAAUAGGGGGCUAUAAGAUGUUGACUGUCAUUGCCCUUCCAAACAUGUCGUUGGUGUCAAACCAUUCGCAGUGAGUUUCAGUCCAUAGGUUGCUCGUGAUCCUCGCUCCUUCAGCUCCACUUCGUCGGCGCCAUCAGUCCACAGAAGUAGGGGCGGCGUGCCCGUCAACAAACAAGAACAGAAGUUCUUCUUGUACAUCCGCCGCCAGCCCGGCGCCCCCGUGCGAUCCAUCAACCGCAGCCGAGAACCUCCGCCCCGCUUCCAUCGCCGGUUGUCGUCCCUCCACCCCUCCUCCUCCCACAACCAUGAUCUGGUUUCAGCAGCUGCCAUGAUGCAAUGUUGCUACUCCCUCCCUACAACAUGGACACAAACAAGCUAAUGGAUGAAAAAAUGAUUAUAGAUCAUUAUUGCUAUGAUCUGUAGUUUCUGUGAACUGAUAUUUGAGACUCUCUCCAGGCUCUGUAGCUUCUGUGAACGGAUAGUGCAGACUCAAUGAACUCUGUCCAUCUCGACUCUUGAACUGAUAGUAGAUAGUAGAGAAGAAUGUAGUGUUGCCUGUCAACUAUUGGUUUGGCCAGUUUCGAAUUUUGGCCUGGUUGAACUUUUGGUAGAGCAUCGGUUUGUUGUCAGUUCUA